GAAGUUUUUCUUCUUGGUACAGAGCACGGACCGAAUCAGAUCCACCGAUGCUAUGACCACCAACGAAGAUGUUGGGCAUUGUAGAUAUAUCGCUAAUGGAAGAAAGCCAGUCUCUUAACUCUUGAGUAUGCUCGUAGUCGGUGACUUCUACAACCACUGCUGGAGGAUCCAAUCUAAGGGUUUCUGUUAGAAGUUUUUUAGCUGCAGCACUAUAAGGACAUCCAGGACGACUAAAAAUGAUAACAGGGUUUUCAAGAAAUACUUCAAAAUCUGUUGAAUCCUUAGCAGGUAAUUUAGGAGCAGAUGGCACUGAGACAUCUGAAAGACCUAAAGGUCCUGCCUUUGCAUUUUUCUCAGGUUCAUUCAGUGGACUGAAUAUGAAGAUAUGAAUAAGCAAUAACGAUAUUAUAAGAGAUGUAAUAAGAAAAAUCUUUCUAUUAGCCAUAAUGGGAUGUAAGCUUUCCUUUCUCUUGGUAAUUUGUAUGAGCUGACGAAAAGCAGCUGAUUAAUCAAAUUAUUGUGAUUAAAGCAAAAUAAAAUAAUAUAAAAUGAAUAAACUAUUACAAUUAAAUUCCCUCACAGUUGGUUUAGAUAGUUACCCAAAACCUGUGGUAUGCAAACGGUAGGCUGGUCGCGGAUAGGUGAAUUUAGGAUAUUGCGAUUGAGGAUUGAAAAACUUCUUUAAAGGCCCAAAAAUUACUAAUUAAGCUACAAAGAUGCCACCGUUAAUAUGAAUCAAGCUCAGUCUAUUUUAAUGCUUCUACAACAAGGGCACGGAAGGAAAGGAACCUUACUUGCUCGCAUUAAGGAUGCCAAGCACUUUAGUCUUUCAGAUUAUUCUCAAAAGAUGUAAAUUUUUUUAAAUAAUCGUCAAAAAACGUAAAGGUAAUGUACAACAUUCUAAUGCUAUUUCAUCCUCAUGAUUUAGCAACUCUCAAAAGCUAAUGAACUACUUGUACACGUGUAUCGUAGAAUUGAAAUGCGUUUUA